AUGAAUUCAUCUUCUUCGUGAACAAGUCUUUCCUCAAGAUGAAUUCAUCUUCUUCGUGAACAAGUCUUUCCUCAUUGACAAUAUGUGUUUCCAAGGUAUUUACAUUCUCCUCCUUAACAUGGAGACUAUUUCUUGAUCAGACUCGUCCUCCUCAUCCACUAACUAACCAUCUUUUAUGACUUUAAACAACUUAAACUCAUUCAAAUCUAGAUUUAGAUAGAUGCGAGGCACUUAUGCAUUGGAUCUCUCAAAUACGCAUUCUAACAACUCUAAUACAUUAUAGUGUUUUCAAAUAUACCACCCCUUCGAUCACUCAAAUGUUUCUCGGACCAUAUAUCCAUGUCUACUUCAAAU
rnacentral:lncRNA from 1 species